ensembl:misc_RNA
GUCAUGUUCCAGUGCAUUAUGUGAGUAUUCAAUCAAAGAAGUGAGGCUGUUCUCCAGAAUUGGUUCUCUGCUACAGGUCAAAAC